UAGGGAAUCUUCCACAAUGGACGCGAGUCUGAUGGAGCAACGCCGCGUGAGUGAAGAAGGUCUUCGGAUCGUAAAACUCUGUUGUUAGAGAAGAACACGAGUGAGAGUAACUGUUCAUUCGAUGACGGUAUCUAACCAGCAAGUCACGGCUAACUACGUGCUAG
rnacentral:rRNA from 1 species